UGGGGAAUAUUGCACAAUGGGCGCAAGCCUGAUGCAGCGACGCCGCGUGGGGGAUGAAGGCCUUCGGGUUGUAAACUCCUUUCGCCAGGGACGAAGCUUUUGUGACGGUACCUGGAGAAGAAGCACCGGCUAACUACGUGCCAGCAGCCGCGGUAAUACGUAGGGUGCGAGCGUUGUCCGGAUUUACUGGGCGUAAAGAGCUCGUAGGUGGUUUGUCGCGUCGUCUGUGAAAUCCCGGGGCUCAACUCCGGGCGUGCAGGCGAUACGGGCAUAACUUGAGUGCUGUAGGGGAGACUGGAAUUCCUGGUGUAGCGGUGAAAUGCGCAGAUAUCAGGAGGAACACCAAUGGCGAAGGCAGGUCUCUGGGCAGUAACUGACGCUGAGGAGCGAAAGCAUGGGUAGCGAACAGG
rnacentral:rRNA from 1 species